rnacentral:rRNA from 1 species
GAUGAACGCUGGCGGCGUGCCUAAUACAUGCAAGUCGAGCGCACGGACGAUAAGGUAGCUUCUCAGACGUUAGCGGCGGAGGUGCGAGUAAAACGUGGAUAACCAACUUAUAAGACUGGGAGAAGUUCGGGACAACGGAACAAAUACCGGAUAAUAUUUUAAACCGCAUUGUUCAAAAGUGAAAGACGGUCUUGCUGUCUCUUAUAGAUGGAACCUCGCUGUAUUAUCUAGUUGGUAAGGUAACGGCUUACCAAGGCAACGAAGCAUAGCCGACCUGAGAGGGUGAUCGGCACCACUGGAACUGAGACACGGUCCAGACUCCUACGGGAGGCAGCGGUAGGAAACUUUGCGCAUGGGGCGAAAGCCUGACGGAGCAACGCCGCUUGAGUGAUGAAGGUCUUCGAAUCUUAAAACUCUGUUAUUAGGGAAGAACAUAUGUGUAAGUGAAUGUGCACAUCUUGACGGUACCUUACCAGAAAGACACGGCUAACUACGUG